rnacentral:rRNA from 1 species
UACGGAAGGCAGCAGUGGGGAAUAUUGCACAAUGGGCGAAAGCCUGAUGCAGCUAUGCCGCGUGUAUGAAGAAGGCCUUAGGGUUGUAAAGUACUUUUCAUCGGGGAGGAAAAAACAAAACUAAUAAUUUUUAUUUCUUGACGUUACCCGAAAAAGAAGCACCGGCUAACUCCGUGCCAGCAGCCGCGGUAAUACGGAGGGUGCUAGCGUUAAUCAGAAUUACUGGGCGUAAAGAGCACGUAGGUGGUUUUUUUUAAGUCAGAUGUUGAAAUCCCUGGGCUUAACCUAGGAACUGCAUUUUGAAACUGAAAUACUAGAGUAUCGUAGAGGGAGGUAGAAUUCUAGGUGUAGCGGUGAAAUGCGUAAAUAUCUGGAGGAAUACCUGUGGCGAAAGCGGCCUCCUAAACGAAUACUGACACUGAGGGUGCGAAAGGCGUGGGGAGCGAAACAGGGAUUAGAUACC